UAGGGAAUCUUCGGCAAUGGACGAAAGUCUGACCGAGCAACGCCGCGUGAGUGAAGAAGGUUUUCGGAUCGUAAAAUUCUGUUGUUAGAGAAGAACAAGGACGUUAGUAACUGAACGUCCCCUGACGGAAUCUAACCAGAAAGCCACGGCUAACUACGUGCCAGCAGCCGCGGUAAUACGGAGGUGGCAAGCGUUGUCCGGAUUUAUUGGGCGUAAAGCGAGCGCAGGCGGUUUCUUAAGUCUGAUGUGAAAGCCCCCGGCUCAACCGGGGAAGGUCAUUGGAAACUGGGAGACUUGAGUGCAGAAGAGGGGAGUGGAAUUCCAUGUGUAGCGGUGAAAUGCGUAGAUAUAUGAAGGAACACCAGUGGCGAAGGCGGCUCUCUGGUCUGUAACUGACGCUGAGGCUCGAAAGCGUGGGGAGCAAACAGG
rnacentral:rRNA from 1 species